rnacentral:rRNA from 1 species
UACAGAGGUCCCAAGCGUUGUUCGGAUUCACUGGGCGUAAAGGGUGCGUAGGUGGCAGGGUAAGUUUGAUGUGAAAUCUCCGGGCUUAACCCGGAAACUGCAUUGAAUACUAUCCUGCUCGAGGUUUGGAGGGGGGACUGGAAUUCUCGGUGUAGCAGUGAAAUGCGUAGAUAUCGAGAGGAACACCAGUGGCGAAGGCGAGUCCCUGGACAACACCUGACGCUGAGGAGCGAAAGCGUGGGGAGCGAACAGG